rnacentral:rRNA from 1 species
UACGUAGGGGGCAAGCGUUGUCCGGAUUUAUUGGGCGUAAAGAGCGUGUAGGCGGUUUGGUAGGUCCGCUGUGAAAACUCGAGGCUCAACCUCGAGACGCCGGUGGAAACCAUCAGGCUAGAGUCCGGAAGAGGAGAGUGGAAUUCCUGGUGUAGCGGUGAAAUGCGCAGAUAUCAGGAGGAACACCAAUUGCGAAGGCAGCUCGCUGGGACGGUACUGACGCUGAGACGCGAAAGCGUGGGGAGCGAACAGG